GGAAGGAUCAUUAUCAGAAAUUCAUAUUUUUGAAUAUCACCCUUCAACCCCUGUCUACCAAUUCUCUGUUGCUUCCAUUGGACUGGCAUAUAUUGUUGAAUUCGCUUUUAACAGUAAUUGCCCUUCAGGUCUCUUAAUUGAGCUUGAAGAAUUGCCAGUGGGUAGCCUAUGUUAAUACAGCAUUUUAUUUAGAAGUCUGAAACAAUAUGAAACUAAAUGAAAAAAAACUUUCAACAACGGAUCUCUAGGCUCUUGCAUCGAUGAAGAACGCAGUGAAAUGUGAUAAGUAAUGUGAAUUGCAGAAUCUCGUGAAUCAUUGAAUUUUUGAACGCAUAUUGCGCCCAAUGGUAUUCCAUUGGGCAUACCUGUUUGAGAGUCAGAAUCCUUCAAAAUUGUCAAACUUCCUAUAGUUGGAGAUGUUUGGAAUUGAGAGACGUAAUAAUAAUUUCAAUGUUACUCUCUUAAAAAUCAGAAUUUCAGGUUGAUUCCUCCAAUCUCAUUUUGUAUGUGAUAAUCUUAAUGAGAGAAGAAAACAGCCAUAAAUGUAGGUAUAUAGAACACUCGGUAUGACCUCAAAUCAGGUAGGGAUACCCGCUGAACUUAAGCAUAUCAAUAAGCGGAGGAAAAGAAACCAACAGGGAUUGCCUUAGUAACGGCGAGUGAAGUGGCAAAAGCUCAGAUUUGAAAUCGGGUGUUUGUAUAGACACUUGAGUUGUAAUCUGUAGAGGAGUUUUCAGAGGAUGACCAAGGAUCAAGUGCCUUGGAAAAGGGACAUCAUAGAGGGUGAGAAUCCCUGUAUAUGGUCUUGGUACUUCUCUAUAUGAAUCUCCUUCACUGAGUCGAGCUGGUUUGGGAAUGAAGCUCUUAAAUGGGUGGUAAAU
rnacentral:rRNA from 1 species